AUUGAACGCUGGCGGCAGGCCUAACACAUGCAAGUCGAGCGGAUGAAGGGAGCUUGCUCCUGGAUUCAGCGGCGGACGGGUGAGUAAUGCCUAGGAUUCUGCCUGGUAGUGGGGGAUAACGUCCGGAAACGGGCGCUAAUACCGCAUACGUCCUGAGGGAGAAAGUGGGGGAUCUUCGGACCUCACGCUAUCAGAUGAGCCUAGGUCGGAUUAGCUAGUUGGUGGGGUAAAGGCCUACCAAGGCGACGAUCCGUAAUUGGUCUGAGAGGAUGAUCAGUCACACUGGAACUGAGACACGGUCCAGACUCCUACGGGAGGCAGCAGUGGGGAAUAUUGGACAAUGGGCGAAAGCCUGAUCCAGCCAUGCCGCGUGUGUGAAGAAGGUCUUCGGAUUGUAAAGCACUUUAAGUUGGGAGGAAGGGCAGUAAGUUAAUACCUUGCUGUUUUGACGUUACCAACAGAAUAAGCACCGGCUAACUUCGUG
rnacentral:rRNA from 1 species